CUGCUGGAGAAGAUGAGAAGGACUUGGGGAGCCCAGACCUUGCAGAGGGUCUCAGGACACAGAGCCGUGUGGGAGUCUCCACCGUGGCCUGGGCUCCUCUCCUUCUCCCUCUCCUCAUUCACUGCACAGGGUCUCUGGUCCAGUUUGUGCUGACUCAGCCAUCUGCAAAGUCUGAGUCUGUGGGGAAUACGGUCACCAUCUCCUGCACUGGAGGCAGCAAUAAUGUUGGGCGUGGAUACACAGGCUGGUUGCAGCAUUUUCCUGGCAGUACCCCCAAACUUCUCAUUUAUGAUGACAGUAAUAGGCUCUCAGGGGUCCCAGCCCGUUUCUCAGGCUCUAGGUCAGGGAACACGGCCACCCUGAGCAUCUCUGGACUCCAGCCUGAGGAUGAGGCUGACUAUUACUGUGCAUCCUGGGACAGCAGCAUCAAUGCCACACAGUGCUCCAGGCCAGUGGGGAAGUGA